CGCAUGACAAACCGAACCAAUCAGGUGAUUCGAAGCAGUUGAGUGCUUCAAACGUCACUGAAGUGAUUCAAACGUCACGAGUCACGUGACCAAAACACGCGUCGGCACAGUGGUUCGAUACGUUCGCUUCAUGAGCUUCUGGCUGCUGUUGACCUUGUUUUUGGAGUAAAACACGGUGGAAGCUGAAUUAGUGAGGAUGACUCCUGCUCCUGUCAUCUCUAAGCUCCUCACACAUCUUUACCUGCACAUGAAGAAAAUCACUCCUGUAGAAUGCAGAUGUUCAGAGGGAGAUGAUGCCACAUCUGGUCCAGCUGAUGGAAGGUCUUGAAGUUCUCUGACUGGCCUCGACUGAAGAUGGUCGUCUCACUGGAUUUAAGGUUCAGAUGCUCAGUAACAAACUCCACCAAUGUGCCAACAGGGAAGCUUUAGGUUUAUUAAAUGUUGCUAUGAAGGUUUUGCUGUUUUUCUUUGUGAAUGCAAUGUGCUCCAACUGAAACUUGAAUUAGAACUUAGAAGUAAAUCCUUCCAUCUGAAAGGAUUUAGUUGCAUUAAUAACCUCAUAACAUUCUAAUUUUUAUUUCAGUCUUGGUUGGAAAUAGAAUCUCUGUAUUGAUUCAGUUAAAAACUGAACUUUACAGCAUGUUGGAGCAAAACAACCAGAUGAAAACUAUGCUGGUGUUGGAUUGUCAGACCGUAAUGUUGCAGCUCAAACCAGCUUUUCUAGCUCAGUUCAUUCUGACAUUCAGCUAUGAAUCAACACAGCAGAUGGUGAUCCAUGCUGUGGAAGUCUCACAUCUCCUGAUUUAAUGGAGCUGCUUUGCACUUUUUACACUGUUUAUUCACCAACACUUUAUUUAAUAAAAGUCCCAUCUAGUUUUUAUGAGGAAUGUGAUGUUUUAAUUUCUCUGUGAAUAACUGCAGUCUAAUGCAACAGCUGGAGUUGUAACAUCUGUCCUGAUAUUGAUCAUGAAGUAUUGAUCAGAAUACUUACGGUUAGCAGUCAUCCCUGAAGAUUUACAUUAAAAUCUUUACUUGUGUUUUGAACUUUGGUACGAAGCAGAAACUUUAGCUUUGCCAUGGAUAUAAGUGUUAAAUUCUGUCCAUGUUUCCAUUGUGGGAAAUUCAGUCCAGCAGAUGAGUUUGUUUUUACUGCCAGCUACCAUUCAGUCUGAGAUAUUAAGAAUAAAUAAAUGUGCAUAAUGUGGAAAUGAACAGAUUUUAUUUUUAUUUAUUCCUACAGCUGCUGCAGGGAAUGUUCUCAAAUGUGGAGGAAUUUAGUCUCACAAUCACAGACAAUAAAUAUUAUCUGAAAGUCAGGGUAUUGUUGUUUAUCAGUGCAAUACAAAAAGAUUGAUGUUAGAAAUAUUCCAGUUAAGACUCUAGAAUAUAAUGAUCUAUGUAAAUUUACCUCAAUAAUAUGAAUGUUCAGGUUAAGAUUGUACAGUGAUAUUUAUUAUGCAAGUUUAGCUGAUUAAAGUUUAUAACUCUGCACUAAAAUAUUAUUUAAAUCGACAUCAUUAUUAUAAUAUUUAGGGUCAGACCCGACAGUAUUGAGAUUAAGAAAUCAAAUAUUCUAUAAAAUGUAAAUACACUGAACUCAUUUGGAUAUAUUUAAGUGAGACUCUACAAUAUUAUUUGACACAAAUCUAUCUAAAUUUUAAUAAUUUUCACGCCAAACAUUUACUGGACUGAUUUAAACAUUAAAAUCACUCCUUUCUAAUCCUCUGCUGUACUUUCAAACCUGAGGCCUUAAAUAGAAACACACAAGUAUCUGUUUGAAGGAACUUCUGCAGAGUCCUGGUUCCAGAACAUGAUGAUAGAAUUAUAGACAAACUUUAACAAAAGCUGCCUGAGAGUUUACAGGUUUUUAUGUGAGAUUUCUUCAGUAAUUUAAUGAGUUAUCAGCAGAAAUCAAGUGUUCAUUUGAUGAACUUCAUUUCCUAAAACAUCCAGAAUUGGAGCUCAUAUAUUUGGCAGCUGUAAAGUUUCUGCUCCUUCAAAGUUCACAACACAAUGAAUUAAUUCCUAAAACACUCAAUGCUGGAGAGCGUUUGUGAUGCUGAAGCAGUGACCAGUUUUUCUGUUUCUUCUCUGGAGAUGCACAAUGAGGGACGUCUGCAGCGACUGAGAAAGAGUCUCACCACAUCCUGACAUGAGGAAAAGACUUUAUUGAAGACUACAAUGAGAAAAACUAUCAGACAGCAGACGACAUGCAUUCAAGUCUGUAGCUGCUGAAUUCAUGGAUGAAUCAUCUGGCACUAGAGAGGAAGACCAUCAAACAUCCAUGUCAGCUGAUGGAGGUCCAAGAGUCUCACCGAACAAACAACCUACAGAGUAGUAAUGUGAGGAGACGUGCCGAGGCUUCGAAGCGUGUGCCGAGUAAUGGAGGGGGCGUUUCCACGAAGCGCGUAUCGAGGCUUGCUUUAUUUAGGGGAGGAGCCAAAAUGAUGACGUCCGAAGCCUCGCUGCCUGGCUAAACCACGUGACUGCUUCGGAAAGUGGUUCAGAUUUUGCCCCUCAGGCUCCGUUCAAAAUGUGGGUUUUUGAUAGAGAGUUGCGGUCAGUAUUCUACACGUGAGAAUUUAUCUACAGAAAUUAUUUGGUCAUACAUUUUCUUGUAUUUCAUAGUCAUUCCCAACAGCCAUAACCGAUAAAAUUUCAGUGCAUCAGACAUGUGGUUCAGAUACAGCUGCCUGUGAUUAUACACCUGGCCAGUAGGUGGCUUUGUGUGCUCAUGAAGCUUCAAGAAAUGAACCGUUUCUCGAACCAAUUGGCUCAAGUGGUUCAAUGCCUCAUGAGGCUUCAUCUCACGCUCACUACUACAGAGUGAAGACCUCGAAUCUGAUUGGACGGCCUCCUAUUCAGCCACAUGUGUGAACAAAUGACUCUAAGUUGAUUUAAUUUCUAAAAUAAAUCUAGUUUGAGUUCUAAUCUAUGUCUGUGUGUUUGUUUCUUUACACUGCUGUUAACAGUUUAGGCUGUUAGAUUGUUCCAGAUAAACUCUCUACAAGGAUCCAAAAUAAGUUGGGCUUCUACAUGAGAGCUUUAAUUAUUCUUCAUCUACUUCCUGAAAAGUUUGGUCAAUAAAAAAGACAAAAACUAAUAUUUUCAGUUGAACUAAAGACAGACUGUGAUUUUUCUGCUCACAUGUUGUGUUGUUGUAAACUUACUCUUUCAAAUAAAUACCCAUCUAACCCCUUGGAAACCAGCGUUUGUCCUGUUUUUGUGUUGCUCCUCAGCAACCCUAGACAGCCGGGUCGUAAUGUUUUUUGAGCAACACACCAUACUAUGAUGUUUUUACAAUGAUGGUUCUACUAUGGAACCAGUUUGACAUGUUCAGGUGUUCUUUGUGUGAAAAUUCUGAGAUUUCAGGUAUCAGAAGGUGGUUUUCAACUUUCUUUGUUAACUUUCUGCCUCAACUUGAAACUAAAUUUCCUUCACUAACCCAGCCCUCUGGACUUCCAGUAAGCUGUGUUCCUAUUGGCUGUCCAGGUGGCUGCUUGGUGUUAUCAGAAACACCUGAGCAGCUCAGUGUCUUCCUGCUUUAUUUGGCGACAGUCAAACAUUUCCUCUGCUUCUCUUCACCACAGAACUGGGUUUGGCUCCAUUGCUUUAGUUUGUUCUUUAGGCGUUGGCUUGCAGCUUCCAGCAGUAAAAUCAUCUUUAAUGUGUUUCCUGGUGUGUUUUAGGGCUUUGUACUGGAUAGUUGUCUUGGUAAAUGUGGUUUUUUAGCCACAGUUAGCACAUGGUGCUAAUGUGUGCAGUGAUUAGUGGAUUUGGUGCAGCUGAGUUGUGUCUUUAUCUUGGCUGUAGUGAGUCUUUAGAGGUUUUUGGUCAGACACAUUCUGUAUUCUUGUUUGAGAACCGAUGCUGAUUGUCCAGAAGGUAAGAGUUCCUGUCCUGAUUCUCUGUUCUCAGAGGUUCUCUGGUAGGCUGCAGGAGACUUUAGUGUUUGGGUUGUGCUAGUUUGGUUUUUGUAUGGUUUCAUUUGGAUGACUCUUGAGGCUCCUCCAUGUGGUUUAGUGAGGUUUUCUGCAACAGUUCUACAAAGCAACCUGCAGCAGAAGAGACUUUGAGAGUUUUUAGGAAGUUCUGGAGACCAGACUUUAGAGCAGCAGAAACAUUUGUCAGCAGUUUGAGCAGGAGAAGGUGAGCUUCAGAGUAGAAAUGAGACGGAAACCUUCUUAACCCAUGUGGUGAGGUCCUGUACCAAGAGUUUGAGCAGGUUGUGAAGAGUCUGUCGUUCUCUGGUCUGAAAGCACAAGAAGAGUCGACUCAUUAAAGGAGAAAACAGGAGAUAUU
ensembl:lncRNA